rfam:Ixodes scapularis strain Wikel colony gcontig_1107728669212, whole genome shotgun sequence.
GCAGUCGUGGCCGAAUGGUUAAGGGGAUGGACUACAAAUCCAUAGGGGUCUUCCCGCGCAGGUUCGAAUCCUGUCGACUGCG